ACCGCUGUAGCUCAGCGGAUAGAGCAGGUCUUUGACGUAGGCCAUGGGACGCGGGUUCGAAUCCCGCCAGUGGUAC
rnacentral:tRNA from 1 species